rnacentral:rRNA from 1 species
CCUACGGGUGGUAGCAGUGAGGAAUAUUGGUCAAUGGACGAGAGUCUGAACCAGCCAAGUAGCGUGAAGGAUGACUGCCCUAUGGGUUGUACACUUCUUUUAUAUGGGAAUAAAAUGUUCCACGUGUGGGAUUUUGUAUGUACCAUAUGAAUAAGGAUCGGCUAACUCCGUGCCAGCAGCCGCGGUAAUACGGAGGGUCCGAGCGUUAUCCGGAUUUAUUGGGUUUAAGGGGAGCGUAGGUGGAUUGUUAAGUCAGUUGUGAAAGUUUGCGGCUCAACCGUAAAAUUGCAGUUGAAACUGGCAGUCUUGAGUACAGUAGAGGUGGGUGGAAUUCGUGGUGUAGAGGUGAAAUGCUUAGAUAUCACGAAGAACUCCGAGUGCGAAGGCAGUUCACUGGACUGCAACUGACACUGAGGCUCGAAAGUGUGGGUAUCAAACAGGAUUAGAGACCCGAGUAGUC